rnacentral:rRNA from 1 species
UACGUAGGGGGCAAGCGUUGUCCGGAAUCAUUGGGCGUAAAGCGCGUGUAGGCGGCCCGAUAAGUCCGCUGUGAAAGUCCAGGGCUCAACCCUGGAAUGCCGGUGGAUACUGUCGGGCUCGAGUCCGGAAGAGGCGAGUGGAAUUCCUGGUGUAGCGGUGAAAUGCGUAGAUAUCAGGAGGAACACCGGUGGUGUAGACGGCUUUCUGGACCGUAACUGACGCUGAGACACGAAAGCGUGGGUAGCAAACAGG